rnacentral:rRNA from 1 species
GAUGAACGUUGGCGGUGCGUCUUAGACAUGCAAGUCGAGCGAGAAAGUCCCGCAAGGGGCGAGUAAAGCGGCGAACGGGUGAGUAAUACUUGGGUAACGUGCCUCCGAGAUCGGGACAACAGACCGAAAGGUUUGCUAAUACCGGAUAAGACCACGUCCUCCACGGGGGAUGAGGUCAAAGAUGGCGCAAGCUAUCACUUGGAGAUCGGCUCAAGCACCAUUUAGCUAGUUGGCGGGGUAACGGCCCACCAAGGCUACGAUGGUUAGCCGACCUGAGAGGGUGAUCGGCCACACUGGGACUGAGAUACGGCCCAGACUCCUACGGGUGGCUG